GUGGCUAUAGUUCAGUUGGCAGAACGCCGGACUGUGACUCCGGACGUCGUGGGUUCAAGUCCCACUAGCCACCCCA
rnacentral:tRNA from 1 species